GAUGAACGCUAGCUAUAGGCUUAACACAUGCAAGUCGAGGGACCGGCGCACGGGUGAGUAAAGCGUAUCCAACCUACCCAUAACUAAGUGAUAACCCAGCGAAAGUUGGACUAAUACCUUAUGGUUAUGGAUGGGGAUGCUUCUGAUUAGCUUGUUGGCGGGGUAACGGCCAACCAAGGCAACGAUCAGUAGGUGUUCGGAGAGGAAGGGCCACCACAAUGGAACUGAGACACGGUCCAAACUCCUACGGGAGGCAGCAGUGAGGAAUAUUGGUCAAUGGACACAAGUCUGAACCAGCAAAGUAGCGUGCAGGAUGACGGCCUAUGGGUUGUAAACUGCUUUUAGAUGGGGAUAGGUACCAUAUGAAUAAGGACCGGCUAAUUCCGUGCCAGCCGCCGCGGUAAUAC
rnacentral:rRNA from 1 species